UUCAGAAAAGACUAAAUGAAUGCUGUGGUAGGACAAUUUAUGUGCAUGACAGUCCUGGUGAGAGAAAGAGGCGUGAACUAAUGCUUAAUAGAUUAUUAUGACAAGGUAAAUUGUGCCAUAGAAACGGGUGCAAACUACUAGCUUGUAAUUUCUAUCGUCUAUCGUAUAUUUUGUACUAUUAUGUAUUUAUUUGGUAAAUAUUUUCGAUUUUAAUUUGAAUGUAUGUACGUAUAUUGACAACAUGAAAGUGACAUAUCAUCAGCAGUAUUUAUUUGGAGUGGCGGCGCAUCCGAAUUUUUUAGGAGCUUCCGGAAGCUUCUGCACAUGUGCGGAUCAUUGCAGGCCACUAGGCAACGUACAGAGAGAUUCCUGUGCCUCUGGUGGUAUUUGGGAGAAGCUGUUGCUUUAAGAGAGUAUUUUCACCAGUAGGCCACUCUGAAGUCUUUGCUGGGUUUAAAGAGUACUUUGUAGAAGCACCUUGGGUUGCAAUCACAGUUUUGAGUCUUCUUGGAUAUACCCUGACGCUCCACCAUCACGCUCCACGACAGAAAUGAUAUUAGCCAGGUGUUGAGCGGCACCUUGUUUUGG